rnacentral:rRNA from 1 species
GACGAACGCUGGCGGCGUGCCUAAUACAUGCAAGUAGAACGCUGAAGAGAGGAGCUUGCUCUUCUUGGAUGAGUUGCGAACGGGUGAGUAACGCGUAGGUAACCUGCCUUGUAGCGGGGGAUAACUAUUGGAAACGAUAGCUAAUACCGCAUAACAAUGGAUGACACAUGUCAUUUAUUUGAAAGGGGCAAUUGCUCCACUACAAGAUGGACCUGCGUUGUAUUAGCUAGUAGGUGAGGUAACGGCUCACCUAGGCGACGAUACAUAGCCGACCUGAGAGGGUGAGCGGCCACACUGGGACUGAGACACGGCCCAGACUCCUACGGGAGGCAGCAGUAGGGAAUCUUCGGCAAUGGGGGCAACCCUGACCGAGCAACGCCGCGUGAGUGAAGAAGGGUUUCGGAUCGUAAAGCUCUGUUGUAAGUCAAGAACGAGUGUGAGAGUGGAAAGUUCACACUGUGACGGUAGCUUACCAGAAAGGGACGGCUAACUACGUG